GCCUCAUCAAACUCUGUCUUCUCAAGAUGGGAAGGAUUGACACAACGAUCCACACCUCCCAUGAUCUCGCAUUCACACCAUCUCGCAGGCUCCUUGGCAACGGGUGAUGGCACCUUUGAAAGGAGCGGACAUGAAAAAAAUUCAGUGGUAUAAAACUGGACUCGACGAAACAGAUGGUUGUUGCCUGUGCUUUAUCUGAGGUGAAAUCGAUAGUGAUUGUUGGUUUUUAGGUAUGUUCUCAACAUUUGGGACGUAGCUAGGAUGCCUCAGGUAGGUCUAAGAUUUUAGUAAAACUGCUUAAUGAUUCAUGACUAGAACAUGAAUUGUUGACUAUGGGAGUGCCCAUAAUCUGCAGAUUAAGUGUUUGGUUAGAGGAGAAUGGGAAAGAAAAGGGAGAGCCUUAAAAAUUAAAAUAUCUCCUUUCUAUUAUUAUUACUGUGUUAAAUUUCGUCAAAGCUGAAGAGAGUGAAAGGAUUAAUUGAAUAUUAUUUUAAUGUAUUUUUGAAAUAUUACAUUUUAUUUCUAUUUAUAUGAAUUAAAUCUUAAAUGAUUUCUUAUUAAUAUAAAGUUGGAC
rnacentral:sRNA from 1 species